UGUGGCCCAGGAGCCACGGGCAAGGGGCUGAGGGGAGGGGGGCCCAGUGCCAGCCAUUUAAAAAUGCCCCCAUGCUUGCAAGGGGUGCCAGAGGCCGGGUCAAGUUAGUUGAGAAGCAGUGACACCCCAAUCAUCCCCCCAACGGGCUGACCCCAAUCUCCAGGCCACAAGGAGUCAUCCCUUGACCAGACGUUAAGAGAGAUGCAGAAACUGAGGCCCAAUGACAGAGGCGACUUGCCCGAGAUGGUGCUGCCAGAGAGUGGCCGCCAGCCCUGAGCUUCCUUCUUUGCCUCUUUCCAGCCUUCUAGCCGUGGAUGGAGACUAUGGCAAAGGCACUGGCUGGAAUGGCUGGAAAGAACCAUCCCUACAACUCUGAGAUCAAAGGAGCAAAAACCCCACUGAGGGAGCCUCCUGGGGACCAGAGGAGGGCAGGCAGCCUGGAAACAGAACUCCUCCCCUUCACCCACGCCUCCUGGGAGCUUCCCAACAGAAGACAGAGGUUCUCCCCUGCUCAGUGACAACCGAAGACAGUGGGGAGCAGGGAGGGGAAACAACCAUCGUCCAGGGAAGCAGUCCCCCAGGCCAGCACUUACAGCUGAAAGCGCUGAGAGCCUCAGAUAUCAUCGUUGUGAUUAUUUUAGAUACAAAGGAACAGAAGGAGGCAGCCGAUAGCCAGGGCUGGGACACACCAAGGACCACACAGGAGCUGGAUGCCAAUUCUAUCUUCUGGUCAAAGGCUGCAUCUUAGCUCCUUGUCCCUGCAUCAGAGUCUCUUCUGGGGGAACAUGGUACUGCCUCCCAUCAAGUUUUUGUUUCUAAACUCAGGAGAGAUGUUGUCUUUGCUGUAAGAUUCUUAGCCCAAUGACCUAAACCAAACCUGUGGCUGUUGAGUAGGUUCCAACUCAUAGGGACCCUACAGGACAGAGUAGAACUGCCCCAUAGGGUUACCAAGGAGUGGCUGGUGGAUUCGAACUGCUGACCUUUUAGUUAGCAGCUGAUCUCUUAACCACUGUGCCCCCAGAGCUCCCAGCCCAAAGAAAGGUGGGGUAGAAACAGCUCUCAACCUCCCUGGUUCAAGCCCUGGCUCGGUGACCCAGGACCAGUUGCCUCACCUUUCUGGUCCUCCGUAAGGAGAUAAUAACCCUCCCCUGGCCACCCUCCCCCCCGCCGCCAUGUUCUAAAGAUUAAAUGUGAUAGAACCCUGUUCGCCAAACUUCAGUCAUUUAGGCGACCCCUUUGACACUUUAACCAGAUUUUCAUACAAUCAUAGUAGUUUUCAAUUUAAGAUGUCAUUUUUUAACACUUCAAAAUAAACUUUUUAGAGCUACUGUAAACAAAAA